GACGAACGCUGGCGGCGUGCUUAACACAUGCAAGUCGAGCGGUAAGGCCCUUCGGGUACGACGAGCGGCGAACGGGUGAGUAACACGUGGGUGACCUGCCUCUAGCUCUGGGAUAAGCCUGGGAAACUGGGUCUAAUACCGGAUAUGACUCCACGGCGCAUGUUGUGGGGUGGAAAGCCUUGUGUGGCUAGAGAUGGGCCCGCGGCCUAUCAGCUUGUUGGUGGGGGAUGGCCUACCAAGGCGACGACGGGUAGCCGGCCUGAGAGGGCGACCGGGCCACACUGGGACUGAGACACGGCCCAGACUCCUACGGGAGGCAGCAGUGGGGAAUCUUGCGCAAUGGGCGAAAGCCUGACGCAGCGACGCCGCGUGA
rnacentral:rRNA from 1 species